GAUGAACGCUAGCUACAGGCUUAACACAUGCAAGUCGAGGGGUAACGAGAGGAAAGCUUGCUUUCCUUGUCGACGACCGGCGCACGGGUGAGUAACGCGUAUCCAACCUGCCCCCAACUAGGGAAUAACCUUGCGAAAGUAAGACUAAUACCCUAUAAUUUCCUCAGAUGUCAUCUGACGAGGAAUAAAGAUUUAUCGGUUGUGGAUGGGGAUGCGUCUGAUUAGCUUGUUGGCGGGGUAACGGCCCACCAAGGCAACAAUCAGUAGGGGUGCUGAGAGGAAGGUCCCCCACAUUGGAACUGAGACACGGUCCAAACUCCUACGGGAGGCAGCAGUGAGGAAUAUUGGUCAAUGGGCGGAAGCCUGAACCAGCCAAGUAGCGUGCAGGAUGACGGCCCUAUGGGUUGUAAACUGCUUUUAUACAGGAAUAAAGUUAGCCACGUGUGGUUAUUUGUAGGUACUGUAUGAAUAAGGACCGGCUAAUUCCGUGCCAACAGCCGCAGUAA
rnacentral:rRNA from 1 species